UAAUUUAGACUGAACUAAACAUAAGAGCUAAUUUUCAGGUUCUGGUACUGCUAGUAUAAUUACAUAAAUUUUCCAAAAUAAAAAAUUAAUGAAAAGCCCAAUUAGCUCGUUACCUAUCCGAAAUUGGAACUUAAGGUGAAGUUAGCACAGGUGGUCCGUUUGAGCAGAACGGAGGAGCUAAAUCCUAACAUCUUCGACUCCAAAUCAAACUGCAGUAAAUUAUCCUCCAUCUGAUGCCCACCAAUCACUAUAGACGUCCUCGCAUUGAUCCCACCAUCCACAAAUCCCAGGCACCACGCGUCCAGGCCGUCCCUCUCAAUCCUCACCAUCGAAUUCGAUCCAAAUAUCCUCCAAAACACAUCUUCGCUUUCCAUCAGCAGAUCAACCGUCGGGACACCCGGUCCCACAAGCGU
rnacentral:misc_RNA from 1 species